UACGUAGGUGGCAAGCGUUGUCCGGAAUUAUUGGGCGUAAAGCGCGCGCAGGCGGUUCCUUAAGUCUGAUGUGAAAGCCCACGGCUCAACCGUGGAGGGUCAUUGGAAACUGGGGAACUUGAGUGCAGAAGAGGAAAGUGGAAUUCCACGUGUAGCGGUGAAAUGCGUAGAGAUGUGGAGGAACACCAGUGGCGAAGGCGACUUUCUGGUCUGUAACUGACACUGAGGCGCGAAAGCGUGGGGAGCGAACAGG
rnacentral:rRNA from 1 species